UCCGGAGGAUGCGAUCGUUAUCCGGAUUUAUUGGGUUUAAAGGGUGCGUAGGCGGAUAGAUAAGUCAGUGGUGAAAACCUGCAGCUUAACUGUAGAAUUGCCAUUGAUACUGUCAGUCUUGAGUAUGGUCAAGGUAGGCGGAAUGUGUAAUGUAGCGGUGAAAUGCUUAGAUAUUACACAGAACACCGAUUGCGAAGGCAGCUUACUGGGCCAUUACUGACGCUGAUGCACGAAAGCGUGGGGAUCGAACAGG
rnacentral:rRNA from 1 species